rnacentral:rRNA from 1 species
CCAGCACCCCGAGUGGUCGGGACGAGUUAUUGGGCCUAAAGCAUCCGUAGCCGGUCCUGCAAGUCUUCCGUUAAAUCCAGCUGCUCAACAGAUGGGCUGCGGAGGAUACUACAGGGCUAGGAGGCGGGAGAGGCAAGCGGUACUUUAUGGGUAGGGGUAAAAUCCGUUGAUCCAUAGAAGACCACCAGUGGCGAAGGCGGCUUGCCAGAACGCGCUCGACGGUGAGGGAUGAAAGCUGGGGGAGCAAACCGGAUUAGAUACCCGGGUAGUCCCAGCUGUAAACGAUGCAGACUCGGUGAUGGGUCGGCUUCGUGCCAACCCAGUGCCGCAGGGAAGCCGUUAAGUCUGCCGCCUGGGGAGUACGGUCGCAAGACUG